rnacentral:rRNA from 1 species
GACGAACGCUGGCGGCGUGCCUAAUACAUGCAAGUAGAACGCUGAAGGAGGAGCUUGCUUCUCUGGAUGAGUUGCGAACGGGUGAGUAACGCGUAGGUAACCUGCCUGGUAGCGGGGGAUAACUAUUGGAAACGAUAGCUAAUACCGCAUAAUAGCAGUUGUUGCAUGACAACUGUUUGAAAGGUGCAAUUGCACCACUACCAGAUGGACCUGCGUUGUAUUAGCUAGUUGGUGGGGUAACGGCUCACCAAGGCGACGAUACAUAGCCGACCUGAGAGGGUGAUCGGCCACACUUGGACUGAGACACGGCCCAGACUCCUACGGGAGGCAGCAGUAGGGAAUCUUCGGCAAUGGACGGAAGUCUGACCGAGCAACGCCGCGUGAGUGAAGAAGGUUUUCGGAUCGUAAAGCUCUGUUGUAAGAGAAGAACGAGUGUGAGAGUGGAAAGUUCACACUGUGACGGUAUCUUACCAGAAAGGGACGGCUAACUACGUG